GGAUGAACGCUGGCUGCGUGCUUAACACAUGCAAGUCGAACGGGAUCCAAGGGGUGCUUGCACUUUUUGGUGAGAGUGGCGAACGGGUGAGUAACACGUGAGUAACCUGUCCUUUUCUUUGGGAUAAGCAUUCGAAAGGGUGUUUAAUACCUUAUGUUCUGUCUGCCUCGCAUGGGGUGGGUGGGAAAGGCUUUGGCCGGAUUUGGGUGGGCUCGCGGUCUAUCAGCUUGUUGGUGGGGUGAUGGCUUACCAAGGCUUUGACGGGUAGCCGGCCUGAGAGGGUGGUCGGUCACAUUGGGACUGAGAUACGGCCCAGACUCCUGCGGGAGGCAGCAGUGGGGGAUAUUGCACAAUGGGCGAAAGCCUGAUGCAGCGACGCCGCGUGGGGGAUGAAGGCCUUCGGGUUGUAAACUUCUUUUGCUCUGAACAAGGCAUGCCAGUGGGUGUGUUGAGUGUAGGGGUUGAUUAGCGCCGGCUAACUACGUG
rnacentral:rRNA from 1 species